UUCUUACUUAACAUUUUACUUGAAACUUGAAACUUAUAAUUUUACAGGAGCAGUACCAGUCCUACUAUUAUGUGAAAAUGCAGAGAAUUGAUGACUAUAGAGUAAACUUUAAAAAUGCUUUCAAGGUCUUCCAUUUCACUUGUUGAUGAUGAAGUGUUAGUACUUGAUGAAGUUGAUGAUGAAUUUGACGUUGAUGAUGAAUUUGAUGAUGUUGACGAAGAACGUGAUGAAGAGGACAAAUUCGGUGAAGAUUUUGCUGAUGGUGAUCUAUCUCUGUUACAAGGACGAUUAUUUCCUUGAUCAUUAGUUGAAGUUAAGUUAAUCUUUCUUUUGUUACCAUAGGAAGCUUUUGGUCUAGUUGGGAUUCUUAUCAUUGGGGCAUGUUGGUCGAUGAUAAGACUGUCUACAUUUCUAAUGUACUCUUGCAGAAUCUUCUCUGCCUCCACCCUCUUGCACCAGAAACUGUGUGAUACCUUACAAAGUCCUGUCUUGAUGUGUGGCAAUAAUUUCCAGGGGUAGUUCGUAAAAAGAUCUUCCCACAGUUUAUACAUUUGUUACUAAUUUGGCUGUGCUGCUCAAUCAGAUGCGAUCGACAUUUGCCUCUUGUUGUAAAGUGAAUGUGCCCACAGAUUUUGCAAGUAUAUCUUUUCUGGAAGCAAAAAAAAAUGAUUAAGUACAAUUUCUCAAUAUUCUAACCCAUAUUGCAUUACAGUGUAUAAUCAUAAUGUAUUUUACUUCUAGCAAUGUCGUUUUCUUUUAAUAGGUGCGAACACAGAAAAGACUGGAGAACUUCGGACUGGUAGAUAACACAGGAUGGCUGUAAAUUGAAUGUUUCGUUUCAGCAUUUUCUAAUUCAGGCUGUCCAAAGACAAGAUCAAUUGGGAGCCUUAUUUCAGAGCCAUAGACCAUAGAUGCGAGUGUGACACCAAUGGCUUCAUGUACAGAACUACGAUGGGCCAUUAAACAUAAAGGU